rnacentral:rRNA from 1 species
CCUACGGGAGGCAGCAGUGGGGAAUAUUGCGCAAUGGGGGCAACCCUGACGCAGCGAUGCCGUGUGAGCGAUGAAUGUCUUCGGAUUGUAAAGCUCUGUCAGAUGGGAAGAAAGGUGCAGAUCUUAACAGGGUAUGCAUUUGACGGUACCAUCAAAGGAAGCCCCGGCUAACUCCGUGCCAGCAGCCGCGGUAAUACGGAGGGGGCGAGCGUUGUUCGGAAUCACUGGGCGUAAAGGGCACGUAGGUGGCUCAAUAAGUCAGGCGUGAAAUCCCAUGGCUCAACUGUGGAAUUGCGCUUGAUACUGUCGAGCUUGAGUACAGGAGAGGAGAGUGGAAUUCCUAGUGUAGCGGUGAAAUGCGCAGAUAUUAGGAGGAACACCAGUGGCGAAGGCGACUCUCUGGUCUGAUACUGACACUGAUGUGCGAAAGCGUGGGGAGCAAACGGGAUUAGAUACCCCGGUAGUCCACGCUGUAAACGAUGGGUACUAGGUGUAGGAGGUAACUAAACCUUCUGUGCCGAAGCUAACGCAUUAAGUACCCCGCCUGGGGAGUACGGUCGCAAGACUGAAACUCAAAGGAAUUGACGG